UCUAACAUUGUGAUCAAGAUAAAAUAAAAAAUAUUACCAAACAACUUUGAUAUUGAUUUUCUUUGAUCCAAUAGUUAGAGAAGGUGUUCCUCAGAUUACUCACAGCCACACAAAGUCAUUUGGCCUCUAUAAGAAAAUUCAUGCAAAGACUGGUGCAGAUAAGAGAUUUGGAGGUGCUAGCCUGCAAGCAACUUUGACAGCUGAUUUAUUCCUUUUUCUUCAAGGACCUUGGACACUCCAAAGGAUGAAGGGAUCU
rnacentral:lncRNA from 1 species